AUUGAACGCUGGCGGCAUGCCUUACACAUGCAAGUCGAACGGCAGCAUGGAGAGCUUGCUCUCUGAUGGCGAGUGGCGAACGGGUGAGUAAUGCAUCGGAACGUACCGUGUAAUGGGGGAUAACGUAGCGAAAGUUACGCUAAUACCGCAUACGACCUGAGGGUGAAAGCAGGGGAUCGCAAGACCUUGCGUUAUACGAGCGGCCGAUGUCAGAUUAGCUAGUUGGUGAGGUAAAGGCUCACCAAGGCGACGAUCUGUAGCGGGUCUGAGAGGAUGAUCCGCCACAAUGGGGCCGAGACACGGCCCAGACUCCGACGGGAGGCAGCAGUGGGGAAUUUUGGACAAUGGGGGCAACCCUGAUCCAGCCAUGCCGCGUGAGUGAAGAAGGCCUUCGGGUUGUAAAGCUCUUUCGGCCGGGAAGAAAUCGCACAGGCUAAUACUCUGUGUGGAUGACGGUACCGGCAUAAGAAGCACCGGCUAACUACGUGCCAGCAGCCGCAGUAA
rnacentral:rRNA from 1 species